CCCUAUGGGGUGCAGCAGUCGCGAAAACUUUGCAAUACACGAAAGUGUGACAAGGCUAUCCCGAGUGCCAUCCGCUGAGGAAGGCUUUUACCCAGUAUAAAUAGCUGGGAGAAUAAGGAGAGGGCAAGUCUGGUGUCAGCCGCCGCGGUAAUACCAGCUCUCCGAGUAGUGUGGAUGAUUAUUGGGCCUAAAGCAUCCGUAGCUUGCUAUGCAAGUCCCUUGUUAAAUCCACCGAUUUAAUCGUUGGAUUGCGGGGGAUACUGUUUGGCUAGGGGACGGGAGAGGCCGACGGUAUUUCCGGGGUAGGGGUGAAAUCCUAUAAUCCCGGGAAGACCACCAGUGGCGAAGGCUGUCGGCUAGAACGCGCCCGACGGUGAGGGAUGAAAGCUGGGGGAGCGAACCGGAUUAGAUACCCGGGUAGUCCCAGCCGUAAACGAUGCAGGCUAGGUGUUUGGGCGGCCACGAGCCGCUCUAGUGCCGCAGGGAAGCUGUUAAGCCUGCCGCCUGGGGAGUACGGCCGCAAGGCUGAAACUUAAAGGAAUUGGCGGGGGAGCACCACAAGGGGUGAAGCUUGCGGUUUAAUUGGAGUCAACGCCGGAAAUCUCACCGGGAGCGACAGCAGUAUGAAGGCCAGAUUAAAGGUCUUGCUAGACGAGCUGAGAGGAGGUGCAUGGCC
rnacentral:rRNA from 1 species